rnacentral:rRNA from 1 species
GCUUGCUCCUCUGACGUUAGCGGCGGACGGGUGAGUAACACGUGGAUAACCUACCUAUAAGACUGGGAUAACUUCGGGAAACCGGAGCUAAUACCGGAUAAUAUAUUGAACCGCAUGGUUCAAUAGUGAAAGACGGUUUUGCUGUCACUUAUAGAUGGAUCCGCGCCGCAUUAGCUAGUUGGUAAGGUAACGGCUUACCAAGGCAACGAUGCGUAGCCGACCUGAGAGGGUGAUCGGCCACACUGGAACUGAGACACGGUCCAGACUCCUACGGGAGGCAGCAGUAGGGAAUCUUCCGCAAUGGGCGAAAGCCUGACGGAGCAACGCCGCGUGAGUGAUGAAGGUCUUCGGAUCGUAAAACUCUGUUAUUAGGGAAGAACAAAUGUGUAAGUAACUAUGCACGUCUUGACGGUACCUAAUCAGAAAGCCACGGCUAACUACGUGCCAGCAGCCGCGGUAAUACGUAGGUGGCAAGCGUUAUCCGGAAUUAUUGGGCGUAAAGCGCGCGUAGGCGGUUUUUUAAGUCUGAUGUGAAAGCCCACGGCUCAACCGUGGAGGGUCAUUGGAAACUGGAAAACUUGAGUGCAGAAGAGGAAAGUGGAAUUCCAUGUGUAGCGGUGAAAUGCGCAGAGAUAUGGAGGAACACCAGUGGCGAAGGCGACUUUCUGGUCUGUAACUGACGCUGAUGUGCGAAAGCGUGGGGAUCAAACAGGAUUAGAUACCCUGGUAGUCCACGCCGUAAACGAUGAGUGCUAAGUGUUAGGGGGUUUCCGCCCCUUAGUGCUGCAGCUAACGCAUUAAGCACUCCGC